UAACACAGAGAAAUUUGUGCUAAUACCGCAUAUUGAGCAAUUAUCGCAUGGUAAAUGCUUGAAAGAUUUAUCGCUUACAGAUGGACUCGCAUCUGAUUAGCUGGUUGGCGAGGUAACGGCUCACCAAGGCGACGAUCAGUAGCCGAACUGAGAGGUUGAUCGGCCACAUUGGGACUGAGACACGGCCCAGACUCCUACGGGAGGCAGCAGUGGGGAUAUUGCGCAAUGGGGCAACCCUGACGCAGCAACGCCGCGUGAUGGAAGAAGGCCUUCGGGUUGUAAACAUCUGUUGCAAGGGAAGAAACAAAUGACGGUACCUUGUGAGGAAGCCACGGCUAACUACGUGCC
rnacentral:rRNA from 1 species